CCUACGGGUGGCAGCAGUGAGGAAUAUUGGUCAAUGGACGAGAGUCUGAACCAGCCAAGUAGCGUGAAGGAUGACUGCCCUAUGGGUUGUAAACUUCUUUUAUAUGGGAAUAAAACAGGGUAUGCAUACCCUCUUGUAUGUACCAUAUGAAUAAGGAUCGGCUAACUCCGUGCCAGCAGCCGCGGUAAUACGGAGGAUUCGAGCGUUAUCCGGAUUUAUUGGGUUUAAAGGGUGCGUAGGCUGUCGGAUAAGUUAGAGGUCAAAUGUCGGGGAUUAACCCCGUGCCUGCCUCUGAUACUGUUCGACUAGAGAGCGGAUGCAGCAGGCGGAAUGAGUAGUGUAGCAGUGAAAUGCUUAGAUAUUACUCAGAACACCGAUUGCGCAGGCAGCUUGCUAAUCCGCAUCUGACGCUGAUGCACGAAAGCGUGGGUAGCGAACAGGAUUAGAUACCCGGGUAGUC
rnacentral:rRNA from 1 species